AUUGAACGCUGGCGUCAGGCCUAACACAUGCAAGUCGAACGAGUGGCGGACGGGUGAGUAAUGUCUGGGAAACUGCCCUAUGGAGGGGGAUAACUACUGGAAACGGUAGCUAAUACCGCAUACCAUCGGAUGUGCCCAGAUGGGAUUAGCUAGUAGGUGGGGUAAAGGCUCACCUAGGCGACGCUCCCUAGCUGGUCUGAGAGGAUGACGAGCAACACUGGAACUGAGACAGGGUCCAGACUCCUACGGGAGGCAGCAGUGGGGAAUAUUGCACAAGUGGCGCAAGCCUGAUGCAGCCAUGCCGCGUGUAUGAAGAGGGCCUUCGGGUUGUAAAGUACUUUCAGCGGGGAGGCGUUACCCGCAGAAGAAGCACCGGCUAACUCCGUGCCAGAAGCCGCGGUAAUUC
rnacentral:rRNA from 1 species